rnacentral:precursor_RNA from 13 species
CCGAUCUCUGGUCGCAUGCGGCACAGCGUGUGGAGGUCACACAUCAUGCCGUUUGAUGCUGGAAUACACUGCAUAGCGGGUGAUCUCCCUAUCCAGUGGUGCACCUUUCCCAAUCGGGCAU